rnacentral:rRNA from 1 species
GACGAACGCUAGCGGCGUGCCUAAUACAUGCAAGUAGAACGCUGAAGGAGGAGCUUGCUUCUCUGGAUGAGUUGCGAACGGGUGAGUAACGCGUAGGUAACCUGCCUGGUAGCGGGGGAUAACUAUUGGAAACGAUAGCUAAUACCGCAUAAGAGUAGAUGUUGCAUGACAUUUGCUUAAAAGGUGCAAUUGCAUCACUACCAGAUGGACCUGCGUUGUAUUAGCUAGUUGGUGGGGUAACGGCUCACCAAGGCGACGAUACAUAGCCGACCUGAGAGGGUGAUCGGCCACACUGGGACUGAGACACGGCCCAGACUCCUACGGGAGGCAGCAGUAGGGAAUCUUCGGCAAUGGACGGAAGUCUGACCGAGCAACGCCGCGUGAGUGAAGAAGGUUUUCGGAUCGUAAAGCUCUGUUGUAAGAGAAGAACGAGUGUGAGAGUGGAAAGUUCACACUGUGACGGUAUCUUACCAGAAAGGGACGGCUAACUACGUG